rnacentral:lncRNA from 1 species
GACAUCUUCUAUGUUGUAUCCGAACAGCGCGUUGAAGGAUGGGAAGACCCUGCCAAAAUGUGGAACCAGCCUAGGACCAAGGACGCCGGGCCCGCUGCAAUCGCGGCCGCUGUGGGGAGCGUCCGCUACUCUAAUCCACACAGCAGCAGCAAGACGCCCCGCAAUUUGCAUUCCCCACGUGAAAUCAUCGCGUGGCGAAAUCUUAUUUGUGCGCCUUUUUUGCCAAAUAUCCCAGUGUGAUGUGCGCACAAUACGGUUAUUUAUCUAAGUGUGCUGUCCCACAGUUCUUUUUCCCUUGCAUUAUGAACCUGUACAUUCUCCUUUGGCUACUGGCGAGAGACUGCCCCGGUGCAUUCUUGUUCUUGUUUUUUUACUUUUGGCGGUACUUAUGGGGCUUGUGUCAUACUCAGCCAAUACUUGCUAGUUGAAUUUUUAAAACUUUAUCUCUGCAUUGGGCAGGAACCAUUUUCUGAAAUUUGAUUUACUUCCUUUGGUGAUUUAAACGCGGAAUAAAAAUAUACGUUUAUCUGUCGGCUGUUAA